rnacentral:lncRNA from 1 species
GACUAGCAAUUAGUCUUGCUGGCUCAUUGUUCCCCUAGCUGGCCCUUUGCUUGGCUCUCUUUCAUCAGUAGCUUUGUUAUGCUCCAGGGCUGCCAUUGGUGGUUUCUUUUCAGGCCAUCUUUUUCUUCUCAGCUAACUAUGCAAGGAACUAGAACAGGGAGAAGAAUCCAGGUUGCCCAUGACCUUUCUACCCACUACUCUCGAGUCUCCUUGGGACUCCUUCCAACCUAGACAUGAGCUACUGUUCUUGCACAGCCUCUGCGGAGUCUCAGUGGCUGUGGCUAUGAGAAGAGUUAAUUGGUGCACUCUCAGCCUGGGCACUGGGGAGGCCAGAGAGCUGUGGGACAGGACCUGCAAUGUGGACUGGGGCUUCCAAAUCUGCAAAGUGAGAGUCCCACUGAUGCUCACAAGGGAUGCUGAAGGGACAGUCUGCAAAGCAGUGGUUAUUUUCUUCUCUGACUCCUGACAGGGUAUCAGCAGGACAGUGAUGUAUCCUGUUAGCAGCUAAGAGCCUCAGUUCCUGCCUCCAGAACCCCUACCAAGUAAACCCCAGCUCUGUACAGUGGGAUUAACUGGUGCUUUUUAGUAACAAUGCUAGAAGAUUAUAAAUGUUUCCUUUCCAAUUAUUCCUCUAUGAAGGAAUAAAUCUCAAAGAUGAUUAUCUCU